AUGUGUUAAAUUGAUAAAAAGUGAUAGUAAAGAAAAUAUAUUAUUAGAAUAUAUAUUAUUAUUAUUUUUAUUUUUUUUGAAUAAAUGCAGUUCUUUUUAACCUUUUAUUCAUCAAAUAUAUUAGACAGCAGAACUGUUUCCAACACUCAUAAUAAAUCAGAAUAUUAGAAUGAUUUCUAAAUGAUCAUGUGAUAGACUGGAUGUUACAUGUGACACUGAAGGCUGGAGUAAUGAUGCUGAAAAUUCAGCUUUGCAUCACAGGAAUAAAUUAUUUUUUUUAAGUAUAUUCAAAUAGAAAACUAUUAUUUUAAGUUGUAAUAAUAUUUCACAAUAUUACUGUUUUUUCUGUAUUUUUGAUCAAAUAAAUGCAGGCUUGAUGAGCAGAAGAAACUUCUUUCAAAAACAUUAAAAAUAAUAAUGUUUCCAAACUUUUGACCUGUACUGUAUAUGCAUUUCUGUGCUUAACAACCACUUUCUUACAGAAGCAGAAAUCGUGUGUUGACUGAGAAUGCAUGACAUAUGAACCUAGUCCUCAAACAGCAAGAAGAACCACAGCAAUUGGAAGGAUCUUGAAUUACAGCAUGAGGAGGGUUGUUAAAACAAAAGCUGAGCGUCACAUCAGAAAGACUCGCUCACAGCAGCGUCCCUGUGCCAGGUGAACAGAAUGGGUUUGUGUCGGUCUGCCAGCCUCCUCACCGUUGCACAGAAAGCAACAGAAUGCUGCAGAGUCUGCUGUGAUGAUUAGCACUGCGUCUCACACCGGCUUCAGAUCGCCGCAGACGUGACAGGUACACUGACGCAACCUCAAACUCAUUUGCUUUACUGCUUCAUUAAAAUCAAGCUGGAGGUGUGGUGUUUUAAUAUCGUUUACCAGCUGUUUUCUUGUAAGCAGUGUUGGAAAUCUGCAUUGAAACGCACUGUACCUUGUCUGCUCAUAAUAGCAACAAGCUACUCAUAAUUAGGUUUUAAAUUCUUACGAAAAAUUAGUUUGCUGCAGUAUGAGUUACUAACAAAACAUAGCUACGUAUUUUUAAGCUACACUGAAACGUUUUGAUUUAAUUUGUUUAAGUUUACGAGGAGUUAGCAGUUAGUUGGAUUUACAUUGAAACAGAUUUCUCUCAGAAAUUGUUAGUUAAUUUCACUAAUAUUUACAAAGAAUCA
ensembl:lncRNA